rnacentral:rRNA from 1 species
GACGAACGCUGGCGGCGUGCUUAACACAUGCAAGUCGAACGGAAAGGCCCUGCUUUUGUGGGGUGCUCGAGUGGCGAACGGGUGAGUAACACGUGAGUAACCUGCCCUUGACUUUGGGAUAACUUCAGGAAACUGGGGCUAAUACCGGAUAGGAGCUCCUGCUGCAUGGUGGGGGUUGGAAAGUUUCGGCGGUUGGGGAUGGACUCGCGGCUUAUCAGCUUGUUGGUGGGGUAGUGGCUUACCAAGGCUUUGACGGGUAGCCGGCCUGAGAGGGUGACCGGCCACAUUGGGACUGGGAUACGGCCCAGACUCCUACGGGAGGCAGCAGUGGGGAAUAUUGCACUAUGGGCGGAAGCCUGAUGCAGCAACGCCGCGUGCGGGAUGACGGCCUUCGGGUUGUAAACCGCUUUCGCCUGUGACGAAGCGUGAGUGACGGUAAUGGGUAAAGAAGCACCGGCUAACUACGUG